rnacentral:lncRNA from 10 species
AGAGGGUUGAAAAAUCACUGCGCCAAGCCUUUGGGGGAGCUCUUCUUGUAGAAAUACCUUCAAUGUCUGUGGCACUUUCCUUUGAAGCUUUUCAAUGUGACUGAGAUGGUAUAGAUGAUGGUUUCAGAAGAUGAAGACAGCCGGGGUCCCUGAGUCACCACAUGGAGGAGAGCCACUCGGGAGAACCACUGACCUGCACUGGACAAUGAUGUUCACGCUGCCUUUAUGAGGUGUAACACUCACUGGGAAGGUCUGCAGUUUCAUUCCUGAGGCUGGCGAGACCAUGAACCCACCAGAAAGAAAAAACUCUUAACGCAUCCAAACAUCAGAAGGAAAAAACUCCAGACACACCACCUUUAAGAACUGUAGCACUUAACCGUGAGGGUCCGUGGCUUCAUUCUUGAAGUCAGUGAGACCAAGAACCCACCAAUGCCAGACACGCUAUUGGUAACUCACAUUGUUCCUGAGGUCAUGGAUUCCUAACAACCACCACCAUCACUGCAUCUACUAAUGCCACUGGUUGCUUCGGGCUCCCCUAAGGACAAGGGUCAGGGUGUGGUGCAGUUCCCAUCCUUCGCGCUGCAACACGAGCUGCAGUAGCUCAGGCACCCAGACCUGAGGCAGGUCUGGCUUUCUGAGAAGUCCUCCAGAAGGGCUCCCAGGGAAACAGCCUAGAAUGCAGGGGAAUCAGCCUCCCAAAAGGUGAACUUUGAUUAAUGAGAGAUAGGAGGUGGGCAGGCACUGGCAGGUAGAGUGCUCUCCUCUCCUCCAGGGUCUCCACGCAGCCUGUCCAGAGAAACCCCGCAUGGCCCCUGAUCUGCUCUGGCCCCUCCACACCUCCCUGGAUCUGUGGUUCCUGCCUGCCUGCCUGCCUGCCU